rnacentral:lncRNA from 1 species
AUGAGGAUGUGGGGCUGUGUAUUCCGCAGGGAUACCGUUCUGAGGAGGAGCAAACUGGGCUGAGGCAUAAGGCUGUGCCAUUGUGUCAGGAGGUGCUGUAGCUUCCUGAUUACCCUGCUGUAAGUACAUAAAAGUCAAGGCACAGGAGAGCUGGGGACACAUGCCCACGUUCGGCAGUGCCACGCAGGUUGCACCCGUAAGGGGAUGCUGCAUGGUGUUGCUCUGAAGUCUACGUAGAACAAGUGAGGGGGCUUGCAUGCAAGCACGUUUGCCCUAUCUUGUCACUACAGUUUUUUUCCUUCUGAUUAUUUAAGUAAGGAAACAGUCUUUCUUCACUGCCUUUCUCUCCCCCAGCGCUAGAUCCC